UCCCAUUGCACCUCGGGAAAUUCGUUCAGGUACUGCGGGUCAUUUAAUUUUUGUCUGCCAAUUUAUUUUAUUUCCCUUGAAAAAGGCUCAAACUGGCGUUGUUAAGAGGCGUUGUUUUAGAUAUUCCCAGGGAACAGGGCCCGUAAAUAAGCAGUUUCCAGAAUUCGGCUCAGCACAGAAGAGAUUUGAGGAAUCAACAAUUUGCUCUCAUCAUGACGGAAGACCUGAGCGACAUGGAGAGGUUACGAGCACAGAAUCUAUCUCUCCUCAAGGAACUACAGAAGGGACAGCGUGACCUGAGGGCAUCCAUCAGGUCCACAGGGGCCAACAGAGGGAGCCCUUUAAAAGAGUCCAGCGUGAAGUUUCAGAGGGAUUUGCUGGAUGUCUCAACAAUGUCUUCUGUUCGACACAAGCCAACAAGAGAUGCUCCACACUCGCGCCUGACGAGCACACCCAAGCAUACAAACUCAGCCACCAAACCCAGGGGUGGUUCACAUCCGCAAGAUGAACCCUUCCCAAAUCCACCAGUCGUUGAUCCCGUGCCGACCGCCACCCCAACCCGUCUGUACGAAAGUUUUCUCAGCGAGAGUCAUUCCACAUUCGGGCGAAGUUCAGGCAAACGUGACAAGGCAAAGACUGUAAAGCAGACGAGACGAAAAACUCCGGGUAGCAGUACAAAAGGAACAACCGGAAGUAUCAAACGGAAAAGUCGAACCCCAAGAAAAUCACCCAAAUAUCGAACGGGAGCAAGUGUCACUACCUUCACCCCGAGUCCAAACAAGAAAGGACCCAAAAUUCCUUACUCAGUACGACUUGAGACUUCAAGCCUGCUCCCUCCUCCGUUAUCUGAGAAAGAAAACCUCCGGGGUCAGGGGUCACGGUAUGGGUACCGGCGACCCCUUGACUUAGCGCAUGAGGAGUCGUAUUACCAGCUGAACAGGGACAGUCCGCUCAGGACUGGACCGCAGAUGGGUCAACUUGAGAGAAGUUUUGCAGGACAGCUCUUGGCUGACGGCAAUGACAGGCGACAAAGGAAAAGAAGCCAGGAGGUCACGACACAACCCAAGUCCAUUUUGUUGACACCGGGAACAAGACUGAACAAGUCAAGAAACAGGGUCAGCUUCCGCCGUUCACCGAGCGCGUCAGCGACCUUUGACCCUGAUGACAGCUUGGCUAACCGGAGCCAGCCUCUCCUGGGAUACGAUUGGAUCGCGGGGCUGCUGGACUCGGACGCGCCAGUCAGCGAGCACUCCGAGGCUUUCUUUGACGAGUUGCGACAGUUCCGACAAGCCAACAGGGAAGAGUGCAUACACAAGGCAACAACUGAGAAGCUUGAUGUAUCAGCCCUGACUGCAAGUGUUACCGAUGAUCUACAGGAAGAUAUGAAACCAGACAGGCAUACAUGUAUUCACAACUACACCUUGAACCCUCGUCUGUUUGCCGUUCCCUUACACGGUACCCAGAACGGUCAGAGCCUGUGUGCCAUCUGUAAUGAUCGACGGAAACCCAAACAGCCUGGAGCCAGUUCCCCAUCCUAUAUCAGAGUGAGCAUUCCGAGAUCCACCCUGGCCUCCCCCUACCGGCUCCGCCCCCAUCGGAGGAAAAGCUACGAUCCUACAGACUCGGUUGGGCUGUCACAGCACUGCCUUGCUGGUUGGCAGAGCUCCAAGCCAUCCAUGCUACCCACCGCUUCCAACAUUGACCUGAAGGGCUGUGUGGACAAGAUGGCUUCCAGUGCACUCAACCUGAUGGUAACAUGACUCAGAUCUUCAUUCCUCUUCAUUGCAGUCCUUCUGAUUUGAAAAUCACAGUCUUACCCAUCCCAAGAGCCCUCCUUUCGCUGCGAGAAUGCAGCAAGAAUCUCCAAGCACACGCAAGAGUUGUUGAAUCG
rnacentral:misc_RNA from 1 species